rnacentral:rRNA from 1 species
CAGUCGAACGGGGAACCAGACGGAAGUUUUCGGAUGGAAGGAAGUGUUCUUAGUGGCGGACGGGUGAGUAACGCGUGAGCAAUCUGCCCAUAAGAGGGGGAUAACAGUUAGAAAUGACUGCUAAUACCGCAUAAGACCACACUACCGCAUGGUAGAGGGGUCAAAGAUUUAUCGCUUAUGGAGGAGCUCGCGUCCCAUUAGGUAGUUGGUAGGGUAACAGCCUACCAAGCCUGCGAUGGGUAGCCGGCCUGAGAGGGUGAACGGCCACACUGGAACUGAGAGACGGUCCAGACUCCUACGGGAGGCAGCAGUAGGGAAUAUUGGGCAAUGGGGGAAACCCUGACCCAGCAACGCCGCGUGAGGGAAGAAGGCCUAACGGUUGUAAACCUCUGUCAUAUGGGAAGAAGGAAUGACAGUACCAUAUGAGGAAGCUCCGGCUAACUACGUGCCAGCAGCCGCGGUAAUACGUAGGGAGCAAGCGUUGUCCGGAAUUACUGGGCGUAAAGGGUGCGUAGGCGGCAUGUUAAGUUAGAUGUCAAAUACCCGGGCUUAACCCGGGGACGCAUCUAAAACUGGUGUGCUUGAGUGCAGGAGAGGAAAGCGGAAUUCCUAGUGUAGCGGUGGAAUGCGUAGAUAUUAGGAGGAACACCAGUGGCGAAGGCGGCUUUCUGGACUGUAACUG